ensembl:lncRNA
AAAUAUAUUUGUGAGGUAGCUGGUGUGUGAGGGAGGUAUCUGGUGUGUGAGGGAGGUAGCUGGUGUGUGAGGGAGGUAGCUGUGUGCAAGGUAGGUAGCUGGCGUGUGAGGGAGGUAGCUGGUGUGUGAGGGAGGUAGCUGGUGUGUGAGGGAGGUAGCUGGUGUGUGAGGGAGGUAGCUGGUGUGUGAGGGAGGUAGCUGGUGUGUGAGGGAGGUAGCUGGUGUGUGAGGGAGGUAGCUGUGUGCAAGGUAGGUAGCUGGUGUGUGAGGGAGGUAGCUGGCGUGUGAGGGAGGUAGCUGGUGUGUGAGGGAGGUAGCUGGCGUGUGAGGGAGGUAGCUGGUGUGUGAGGGAGGUAGCUGGUGUGUGAGGGAGGUAGCUGGUGUGUGAGGGAGGUAGCUGGUGUGUGAGGGAGGUAGCUGUGUGCAAGGUAGGUAGCUGGCGUGUGAGGGAGGUAGCUGGUGUGUGAGGGAGGUAGCUGGCGUGUGAGGGAGGUAGCUGGCGUGUGAGGGAGGUAGCUGGCGUGUGAGGGAGGUAGCUGGAGUGUGAGGGAGAUAGCUGGAGUGUGAGGGAGGUAGCUGGAGUGUGAGGGAGGUGGCUGGCGUGUGAGGGAGGUAGCUGUGUGCAAGGUAGGUAGCUGGCGUGUGAGGGAGGUAGCUGGUGUGUGAGGGAGGUAGCUGGUGUGUGAGGGAGGUAGCUGGUGUGUGAGGGAGGUAGCUGGCGUGUGAGGGAGGUAGCUGGCGUGUGAGGGAGGUAGCUGGUGUGUGAGGGAGGUAGCUGUGUGCAAGGUAGGUAGCUGGCGUGUGAGGGAGGUAGCUGGUGUGUGAGGGAGGUAGCUGGCGUGUGAGGGAGUUAGCUGGCGUGUGAGGGAGGUAGCUG